rnacentral:rRNA from 1 species
GACGAACGUUGGCGGCGUGCUUAAUACAUGCAAGUCAACUGAAGCAGUGGUAGCAAUAUCGCUGUGGAGGUGGCGCACGGGUGAGUAACACGUACGUAAUCUGCCUUCAGGUCUGGCAUAACUCCGGGAAACCGGGGCUAAUAGCAGAUGAUGCAGCGGCUCGACAUCGAGACAGUUGUUAAAGCUAUGGCGCCUGAAGAUGAGCCUGCGUCUGAUUAGCUAGUUGGCGGGGUAACGGCCCACCAAGGCAACGAUCAGUAGCUGGUCUGAGAGGAUGAUCAGCCACACUGGAACUGAGACACGGUCCAGACUCCUACGGGAGGCAGCAGUAAGGAAUAUUGCUCAAUGGGAGAAAUCCUGAAGCAGCAACGCCGCGUGAGGGACGAAGGGCUUUUGCUUGUAAACCUCUGUAGUGAGAGAAAAAAAUCCCAAUCUUUGGGACAUGAUGGUAUCUCAAAAGUAAGCCCCGGCUAACUACGUG